GAGUUUGAUCAUGGCUCAGAAUGAACGUUGGCGGCGUGGAUUAGGCAUGCAAGUCGUACGGGCCGCAAGGCCAGUGGCGCAAGGGUGAGUAAGGCGACGGUAACCAACCCCAUGAUUGGGUAUAGCCGCGGGAAACCGCGGGUAAUCCCCAGCGACGUCCGAGGGGGGCAUCCCUUUCGGACCAAAGCCCCGGCGUCGUGGGACGGGCUGUCGUGGUAUUAGCUUGUUGGCGGGGUAACGGCCCACCAAGGCUGUGAUGCCUACCGGGCGUGCGAGCGUGGCCCGGCACACUGGGACUGAGACACUGCCCAGACUCCUACGGGAGGCUGCAGUCGAGAAUCUUCGGCAAUGGGCGCAAGCCUGACCGAGCGACGCCGCGUGGAGGACGAAGGCCUUCGGGUUGUAAACUCCUGUCGAGGGGGAAGAAGGGGCGGCAACGCCCUUGACUGAUCCCUGGAGGAAGCACGGGCUAAGUUCGUGCCAGCAGCCGCGGUAAUACG
rnacentral:rRNA from 1 species